UACGUAGGGUGCAAGCGUUGUCCGGAAUUAUUGGGCGUAAAGAGCUUGUAGGCGGUUUGUCGCGUCUGCUGUGAAAUUUCGGGGCUCAACCCCGAACUUGCAGUGGGUACGGGCAGACUAGAGUGUGGUAGGGGAGACUGGAAUUCCUGGUGUAGCGGUGAAAUGCGCAGAUAUCAGGAGGAACACCGGUGGCGAAGGCGGAUCUCUGGGCCUUACCUGACGCUCAGGCGCGAAAGCUAGGGGAGCGAACUGG
rnacentral:rRNA from 1 species